GGGGUUGUGGCUCAGAGGUAGAGCACUCAUCUAGCAUGCAUGAGACACUGGGUUCAAUCCUCAGCACCA
rnacentral:tRNA from 1 species